UUUGUAGCAAAUUGCAGACAAUGUCCUUUGUCUUCAAAAUUGACUGGUUUUGUACUUAAUGUUUCAAAAUCUUACACGUUUUGUCCUUUAAGCCAAACCCAGUUAGAAAUUUCAGUUAUUUUGGAUCCUACAAUUUUAAUCAUUAUUGAAAAAAACACUAAACUUUCGUUGUUUCAGUUUCAGGUAUUUGUGGCCAGUGCGAACUGUUUCUUAUCUUGAAAUAUAUAUGUUGUGACCCGUAUCAGUUUUUUUAUAGUUGUUUCGACAUGCAUGAAGAUGUGGGUUUUACUUUAAAAAAUCCUUCAUUUUUGGGUAAUGACAUACAACGGGUGUGAAAGGAAGUAAAAGAGGAAGCUUUCAAAAGCAUGGACCCUACACUUCUAUGACCCUAACGCGUCUUUCUUUUGCAAGGUAAACAAGUCACUGUACAGUCAUUUUUUGAACAAAGAGAGGCGUGAAUCUAAAUAGUAGCAUUGCCACAAGAUAAACAGAGGUUACUCGAACACCAUCUUCCACAACUAUGGGUUAUACCCGACAGUCGCAUGAGGAAUGCUAGAAGUUGCUGGAGUCAAAGAGUGAAAGAAUGAAGAGUUAGUGAAGUAUUGGAAAAGAAAGCAAAGCACAGCGCCGUAAGCUACGCCACCAGGCCGUAGCUUACGGCCCCCAUCUCAUGCCAAAAGGAGCCGCCGUAGACAUAUUGAGCUUGGAAAACAUCAUCUUUUUAUCUUAUCUCUAUCUAGUUUUUGUUGGUGAACUUGGUGAACUUGGUAAACAAUAUUUGUUUCUACAUUUUUCAUGAUGAUGUUUGUUAAAGCCAUGUGUGGCUAAAAACUUUAUGGUCAUCCUAGGUGGAAGGUUUGUGAAACUAUUGUGCUUAUUUUAUAUUUCUA
rnacentral:lncRNA from 1 species